rnacentral:rRNA from 1 species
AAAUUGAAGAGUUUGAUCAUGGCUCAGAUUGAACGCUGGCGGCAGGCCUAACACAUGCAAGUCGAGCGGAAACGAGUUAUCUGAACCUUCGGAGGACGAUAACGGCGUCGAGCGGCGGACGGGUGAGUAAUGCCUGGGAAAUUGCCCUGAUGUGGGGGAUAACCAUUGGAAACGAUGGCUAAUACCGCAUAAUAGCUUCGGCUCAAAGAGGGGGACCUUCGGGCCUCUCGCGUCAGGAUAUGCCCAGGUGGGAUUAGCUAGUUGGUGAGGUAAGGGCUCACCAAGGCGAC